GCGAUGCUAGCGCGGGGCUGCUGACGUCAUCUGCAGGCCCUGGAGACGCGACUGCAGUUACCGAGUUUCUAAGGCCUCGUCCCCUGACGGGAAGGCGGCGUUGGGGGGCGGCUGGGUUUACCCUUCGAGAUCUCUGAUGGAUUUGUUGACUCCUCUGUGGGAGAAAGGCUUGGUCUACUGCAGGUGUUAACGCUAAGCCAGGCUGGAGCUGUGGACGUCAGUUUCCUCAGCUCCCCGCUGUUCGCUUCGAACGUGACCUCGACGUCUGCUCUCCCCUUCCCUUUAGCUGACAAUGUGACAGUGCUUGAAUAAAAGUCAGUCUGACAGGAACGGUAAUUUUUUUUCAGUGAAUAUCUUCAGUUACAGAAGAUAAAUAGAACUUGACAAUGAUUAUUUAUAGUGCCCUGAAAAAAAAUGGCUGCCAAUUUCCCUGUAUAUUACAAAGACAAAAGUAGCAUUGCUUCUUUUCUCACCUAACUUUAAACAUCUUAAGGGAAGUGCAUUACAGGAAGGCAAUGAGCAAAGGCUCAACAUUUCACAGUAAAGUCAGAUUUUCCACAUUUUAAUUUUAAAAUGUGUUUUUUAAACAUUAAGUUUUUUUUAAGACAAGUUUAUUCUGGAUUGUUUUGAUAAUCAAAUAAUAUAACUUAAUUCACUGAAGCUUCUAAAAUUAUUUACAAAUAUGAAAUAUAAGUCCUGGUUAGAAUUUGGAUAGUUUUAAAGCUUAAAAGAAUCCACAUGCUAACUUCUCAGUAUGAUUUAAUAAAUCAAAUUACUAAACAUGUAAUUUCUUCGACAGUUCACCUUUGGCCCUGUAAUAGGGUAACUGGUAUUGUGGAAGAAUAAUUAUAAAAUGUCAAAUCUUCAGCUGUUAUGAUUGAUUAAGUAUGGUGCUGUUGAGACUAAGCAGUAAAACAUGCCACAGAUUUAAAUUGAUUACUAUUUUUUUCAUAUUGAUGGGGUUUUUUUUGUUUUUGUUUUUGUUUUUGAGACAGAGUUUCCCUCUUGUUGCCCAGGCUAGAGUGCAGUGGCACAAUCUCUGCUCACUGCAACCCCUGUGUCCCGGGUUCAAGCAAUUCACCUGCCUCAGCCACCCGAGUAGCUGGGAUUACAGGCACCCACCGGUAUACGCAGAUAAUUUUUGUAUUUUUAGUAGAGACGGGGUUUCACCAUAUUGGCCAGGCUGGUCUCGAACUCCUGACCUCAGGUGACCCUCCUGCCUUUGCCUCCCAAAGUGUUGGGAUUACAGGCAUGAGCCACAGCGUCCGGCCCAUAUUGAUGCUUUUGACACUUUAUUGUAUAUAGCUACAUUUUCUACUGUGUGUAUUAAAUUAGUUUGGAAUCGAAAGAGCAAGAAAGUUGUUUUUUUUCCCCCACUCUUUGAAUAUAAAAAAAUAAAAAUCAGCACGAGUUAGCUGCUUUUUCCAUAGUAUGGACCUGGGAGGUAUAGUGUGAGCAUGGAUUCUGGAGCCAGCCCGAUACACUUAAUCUUGGCAUAUGUUGUAGGCAUGAGGUGGUGAUAAGGAUUGUAGGAGAUAAUGCACAGGAAGUACGUAGUAGUCUCCCAGCAAACAGCAGCCACAUGCUCUCAUUUGCUCAUACUUUUUUAUGUGUUAAGAAAAAUCCUACAUCUUUUUAAUGUGUAUUUUUAGAAAGUAAAUUAUGAAAUAUUUAGGACAUACUUAAAGGUAUAAAGUAUAAUGGAAUGAAUAGCCAUGUAUCCCCCACCCAAUUUAAGAAAUAAAAUAUCACCACUGGGCAUGGUAGCCCACCCCAUAAUCCCAGCACCUUGGGAGGCCAAGGCCAGUGGAUCAUUUGAGCCCAGGAGUUUGAGAUCAGCCUGGGCAACAUGGCAGAACCCUGUCUCUACGAAAAAAAAAGCCGUUGUGGUAGCCCAAGCCUGUAGUCCCAGCCACGCGGGAGGCUGAGGUUGGAGAAUCACCUGAGCCUGGGAGGUUGAGGCCACAGUGAGCUGUGGUCGUGCCACUGCACUCCAGCCUGGGCAACAAAGUUGGACCCUGUCUCUAAAUAAAUAAAUGAAACAAGAAAACAUCACUGAUACUGUGCGUAGCCUUUCCCAAUACAUCCCUCUUCCCUCUCUACAAACAGUUGCAACAAUCUGAAUGCUGCUUUAAUUUCCAGGCAUUUAAAAUUGUUUUACUAUAUAUGAAUAUAUACCUUAAAAUGUAGUAUUGCAUUUCAUCUUUCAAAACUGUUUUGAA
rnacentral:lncRNA from 1 species